rnacentral:lncRNA from 10 species
GUUUCCACUUCAGUCUCCGAUUGACCACAGGCCUUCAUAAGGUGUAUCUAAUUGGAGGCUUCAAAACAGCCCCUAGUGGCGUUGCCGGAUUCUUUUGGCUUAAUAAAAACCCUAAUGGUGGAGAGGGGUUCUUGAGCUCUUGAGCCACUCCCGCUCUGUGAAUUGUACUUUCACUUCUUCAGUAAACCUGCACUUUUUUUUUCUCUUUCCUUUUGUUGCUUUGUCUUUCAUUGCUUCGUUCUUUUGUUUCUUUGUGCGUUUUGUUCAAUUAUUUGCUCAACAUGCCCAGAACCUGGACAACUCACAGUAAAGACCUUCCAACAGGUAUAAGAUUAUGUUUUCUAUGAACAAAUGCUAA